GAUGAACGCUGGCGGCGUGCUUAACACAUGCAAGUCGAACGAUGAAGCCCAGCUUGCUGGGUGGAUUAGUGGCGAACGGGUGAGUAACACGUGAGUAACCUGCCCUUAACUCUGGGAUAAGCCUGGGAAACUGGGUCUAAUACCGGAUAGGAGCGUCCACCGCAUGGUGGGUGUUGGAAAGAUUUAUCGGUUUUGGAUGGACUCGCGGCCUAUCAGCUUGUUGGUGAGGUAAUGGCUCACCAAGGCGACGACGGGUAGCCGGCCUGAGAGGGUGACCGGCCACACUGGGACUGAGACACGGCCCAGACUCCUACGGGAGGCAGCAGUGGGGAAUAUUGCACAAUGGGCGCGAGCCUGAUGCAGCGACGCCGCGUGAGGGAUGACGGCCUUCGGGUUGUAAACCUCUUUCAGUAGGGAAGAAGCGAAAGUGACGGUACCUGCAGAAGAAGCACCGGCUAACUACGU
rnacentral:rRNA from 1 species